ensembl:lncRNA
GACUCCAGUAAUAGUAUGAGUAGUGUGGAAGAACAAGAUUCUCCUGUGUUUGUCAUGUGACUGUCAUGUGUCCCUCCCUCCAGCUCCUAUUGGCUCAGUGGAAGUGUCAAUCAUCUGCUCCUCCAGUGGGGUGAUGAGGGUGUUCUGCUCCUCUGAGGGGGAUCAGCUCCUCUACAGCUGGACUCUGAAUGGAGAUCCACUGAUGGAUGGAAACAGCAGCAUUGAUCUGGAUGAGGGUACUGAUGGAGACAUCAGCUGCAGUGUGAAGAACCACGUCAGUCACGCACAGAAGACCAUUAGACUCAAACCCUGUCCUGUUUUAAAAUUCUCUCUGAUUGCUUUGGGCUGCGUUGCUCUGAUCCUGAUUCUGCUGUUCAUCACAGUAUGUUACGUUUACAAGAAGAAGCAGCUCAAGUCAACACAAGCCACUGCUGGAGAUACAGAGCUCAUAUACACUGAUAUCUCUCAUGAGAAAAAGAGUGAAAAGAAGAAUACAGAAUCUUUCCUGGCUGCUGAUGUGGAAUACUCCGAGGUCCGAACGCAGACAAAGAGGAAGAAGAAGAAGAAGGAGGAGGAGGUUCAGUACGGCGAGGUGACAUUCACUCCGAACCACUCAAACGCUCCACAGCAGCAGCUUCAGGAGGAGUGUGUUUACUCGCAGGUACAGAGACACUAGUUUCACAGCAAAACUCGUGUAGGAUCGCACUUUCCCUGAGAAACCGGAUGCUUAUUUUCACUUAUGUUUGGCUUUGGGAGUUUUAUAGAUUAUAUAAAGCACAUAUCUCUUUGCGUUUGUAAAUUAUUUAGCUUGACAUGUUAACAAUGGUACUGUGUGUUGAUAUGUGGUGUAAUGGGUUGUAUAGCGUGAGCUUUAACGUACAUGUCUGGGCUGAACUGUCAGAUGAGUAAACAAAACAAUGGAAAAAAGAGGAAACCAAUCGCACAUUAUUUCCCCUUGAACUUCUGUGCAAUUCAGUUUUUAGCGCUUCUCGAUUUGCAACUGCGACUAUACGAUGGCAAGAAAAACCUUGAAAGUUAGCUUUUAAUCAUGAAUCUCGAGGAGGUGAUUGAUGUGCACAAGUGCUCAAAAGUCAUGAAAACACACCUUGAUAGCACACGUACAAUACAGAGACGUCUAUUUGACGUCUGCAUUACAUCUGCAAGGCAUAUUUUUUUAGUGUUUGUUCAUCUGCAAUACGACUAUAGGACGUUUCCUAUCAGAUGUCAAAUAGACGUUAAUAAGAUGUCUUUAAGAUGUUUAUGAUUUAGAAUGAAUGUAAACUGACAUCUUAAAGACGUCUAUCAGAUGUUUGUACACAGCAGAUGCUUUCCAGAUGAAGCGAUCUUUAACAGACCUCUUGCAGACGUGAUGCAGUUUGGUGAUUUGGAAUUAACAUUUCAAAGCAAUAGAAGUCAGAAAGUCACAGAAAAUCUGAGCUUUGCUAGACUGAGUUAUGCAUUUCUGCAUUUGGCCGCCUGGAGUGAGUUGAAGCAGUCACAUGUUGUUAAUGGGGGCUUGUGGCAAAAAUGCAACCAAAAUUAACCAAAAUGCCCCACAAAUUCAAGAUAAAGGGGCAAAAAUUGCCCCUGCACAAUGCAACAAUGUACUACAGCUGUUGUGAUUAAAAUGAACUGCUCAUGCUGCAUCAGAUUGCAUUUUAUGCUUUUUUUAUUUUGCAGUGUUGAGCUUUAUAACCAAUCACAUGCGUUUCCGUUGAGCUUAGGAAUGCAAUGGCCAAUCAGAGCUGCUUAGAUUAGUCAGUGCUCAAGACUCCGGAGUUGUUGUUGAUUAUAUUGCCGCACUGAAUUCCCACAUCAUAAACAACAGUGCAGAUACGAUGUAAAUAAAAGAUUAAUUUCAUAGCA